rnacentral:rRNA from 1 species
GGCUACCAUGCAGUCGAGGGGCAGCAUGGUCUUAGCUUGCUAAGGCCGAUGGCGACCGGCGCACGGGUGAGUAACACGUAUCCAACCUGCCGUCUACUCUUGGACAGCCUUCUGAAAGGAAGAUUAAUACAAGAUGGCAUCAUGAGUCCGCAUGUUCACAUGAUUAAAGGUAUUCCGGUAGACGAUGGGGAUGCGUUCCAUUAGAUAGUAGGCGGGGUAACGGCCCACCUAGUCUUCGAUGGAUAGGGGUUCUGAGAGGAAGGUCCCCCACAUUGGAACUGAGACACGGUCCAAACUCCUACGGGAGGCAGCAGUGAGGAAUAUUGGUCAAUGGGCGAGAGCCUGAACCAGCCAAGUAGCGUGAAGGAUGACUGCCCUAUGGGUUGUAAACUUCUUUUAUAAAGGAAUAAAGUCGGGUAUGNAUACCCGUUUGCAUGUACUUUAUGAAUAAGGAUCGGCUAACUCCGUGCCAGCAGCCGCGGUAAUACGGAGGAUCCGAGCGUUAUCCGGAUUUAUUGGGUUUAAAGGGAGCGUAGAUGGAUGUUUAAGUCAGUUGUGAAAGUUUGCGGCUCAACCGUAAAAUUGCAGUUGAUACUGGAUAUCUUGAGUGCAGUUGAGGCAGGCGGAAUUCGUGGUGUAGCGGUGAAAUGCUUAGAUAUCACGAAGAACUCCGAUUGCGAAGGCAGCCUGCUAAGCUGCAACUGACAUUGAGGCUCGAAAGUGUGGGUAUCAAACAGGAUUAGAUACCCUGGUAGUCCACACGGUAAACGAUGAAUACUCGCUGUUUGCGAUAUACGGCAAGCGGCCAAGCGAAAGCGUUAAGUAUUCCACCUGGGGAGUACGCCGGCAACGGUGAAACUCAAAGGAAUUGACGGGGGCCCGCACAAGCGGAGGAACAUGUGGUUUAAUUCGAUGAUACGCGAGGAACCUUACCCCGGCCUUAAAUUGCAGAUGAAUUACGGUGAAAGCCGUAAGCCGCAAGGCAUCUGUGAAGGUGCUGCAUGGUUGUCGUCAGCUCGUGCCGUGAGGUGUCGGCUUAAGUGCCAUAACGAGCGCAACCCUUGUUGUCAGUUACUAACAGGUUCCGCUGAGGACUCUGACAAGACUGCCAUCGUAAGAUGUGAGGAAGGUGGGGAUGACGUCAAAUCAGCACGGCCCUUACGUCCGGGGCUACACACGUGUUACAAUGGGGGGUACAGAGGGCCGCUACCACGCGAGUGGAUGCCAAUCCCAAAAACCUCUCUCAGUUCGGACUGGAGUCUGCAACCCGACUCCACGAAGCUGGAUUCGCUAGUAAUCGCGCAUCAGCCACGGCGCGGUGAAUACGUUCCCGGGCCUUGUACACACCGCCCGUCAAGUCCAUGGGAGCCGGGGGUACCUGAAGUGCGUAACCGCGAGGAGCGCCCUAGG